rnacentral:lncRNA from 1 species
AUGAUCCAAUCAUGGUGAUAACCUGGGCCAGCCCUUCCCUUUUGUGCCACUCGGAGGUUCCCAAACCGGUAUGACUGGUCUUCUGCAUCUUACAUCUUUGAAUCUUUGUGUAGUGAUGUUACUGAUCUGCUGCAUGUCAUGACUUUGCUUGAAGAGGAACAAGAACAUGACCUAUUAGUGGCAUUCAAACCAACAAAACAGUCAGAUAGUACAUUCCAAACCAAUGCAUCUAAAAAGUUCGAUUUGCUAGUUCUAACAAAAUAUAUCAGAAGUAAUACCAACCAACUCAACAAUUAAAACAGGAGUAGAAAACAUAUCAAAGAAAAAAAAUAAAAUAAUUUUGUGAUCAUCUAAUCUAAUAACUAGGACGUGGAAUCUUCAGAGUGAGAAAAUAUGAAAAGAUUAUUUUGCCAUAAUCUAAUCCGUGAAAUUUCACACAAUAAACAACUAGGGUGUUUUAUCUUCAGAAAUGACAUGGACAAAGUAAUCAGCUGUGCCAUUAUACACCGAUAAGAUCAAUGGUCAUCAGGUUUUCUUGUAUUGAGCAUGACUUUUUAGCAACAUAUUGUACCAUUUCAGGAUUUUCUAUUGCACAAACAAUGAGAUAGUUUUCAUUUUCAUCGAGCAGAGUGGCUAAAAUCAGAAUAAACUGUAAGUGAAGUUCUCACAUAAAAUCAUGAAAAUAAUUAUUUUGGCACUAUAUCACAUAUACAAAUUAUAUAUGAUUCAAUGGUCAGGCAGAUUCCUAAAGUCCUCUAUGGUAUUGGAACAAUUAAAUGGUUCUUUUCACUAGCACAAUUGGUGCUAGGUUCUCAGAUUUGACUAUCGUGAGUUCAACAAAGUGUCUACACCAGUGAGGGUGAGAUAGUGGCAUGCUGCAAUCUCCUAUAUUCAUCUAGAGAACCACAAAACAUAAAAAAGAUUUUGACUUUGUGUUUAAAGAUGGUUGCAUGCACUGCAAUGUAGAUGCGGGAUCUGUCCGUAUGUAGUGUCAGCUGCCAUUCUACAUGUUCUUGAUGAUAGUGACAUCCUGAUAUACCUUUGCACAUCCUGUUAAGUUCCUUUUCCCCACUAAAAUUUUCAUCCAAAGAUUUGCCAAAGGAUUUUUAAAACGAUACUCCUUGUAUGUUGAGUUUCUAAAUUAGGUCUAAUUUGUUUUCAUAAACAUUGCAAUUGUUUGCUGAGUUGUGGUACUUUGCAUUCAAACUAUGUAUUUUAUAUUCAAAUUCUACCAGCUUCUAGAAUACAGAAAUGGCAAAUUAAAGCAUCUGCUAAUCCAAAUGAUCAACUUUUAAGUUGAAAAUCAGUCACAGAGUAUACAACAAUGAUGUGCCAGUAAUUGCUCAAUCUUGAAAGAAAAGAUAAGGAGUUUUACAGAUUACAGUUGUAGACAAAAGAAAUCCUUUAAGGUCACACUCUUAAUCUAUAAAUUCUAUUGAUAUAUAUGUAGCAUCAUAUUUCAGGACCACAAGAUUACUUCAAUACACCGAGGAAAAUAUUUCUAGUGUUAGAUUCAUUGCUGGAAAGGAGAUUCAUAAUUAAAUACCAUGCUUUGCAUUGCAAAAAUGAACAAGGUGGAAGGUCAUAAUAAAUUGUUGUCAAUUAGUUAGUUCAAUUACAGUUCUCUGCAACCCAGCAAAAAGGGAAAAGUAAACAUGGUUCAUGGAAGCUUUGUUGGUUAAUCAUGUGCUACGUAAUCUAAAUGAACUGCACCAUAGUUAGUAUUGUGGGAUAAGCGUAUAUAAUGUAGAUUAACAUCUAAAUAUGCUUAAAGUUAGGGUACAAUAGACAGCCUCUCUGCUAAGGGUAAGGCUCGAUACAGACCUUAAUUAGUUCAGGUACUGUCUGCAAACCUCCAGAAACUGUUUCCAUCUUAAUUUAGCCUUCUCAAACCCCUCCAUAUCAAUGUUGUUUCAGUAACAUCAUUUUCAUCUCACAUUUAUGUUACUCCAGGCCUCAAUGGCUUUGUAGCAGAUUUAGUUAACUUGAUACAAUUUCACAUAACCUCAGAUCUUUUUUGUAGGCCAAAUUUCUUGCUGAAUUUUGAUUGUACAAGUCUAUUUGAUGUUUAAAGUAUCAUGUUGAGAAUUUGGAGUUGUUUGAUACCCUUUAUCAAACAGAUAAGCAGGUGGAUCGGUGAAAAUAGUUCAAAAUUUGACAAUUAAUACUCGAGAUGAGUUUUUUUAGAAGAAUAAAGCAUUUUGAGAACCCAUGAGUGGUGAUUGAUUGGAUCAGGAACAAAUUUCUCGCUGAACUACUUUUGGUCGGUUUUUUCUCGAGUGUGAUGAUCAUUUACAAUUUCUUCUUCUAAACAUAGGUUUGUAGAAUCAGCAAAUCAUACUUUCAAAUGGGUACUAUUUCAUUUUAUAGAAUUCCAUGAAAACCAAUACAUCGGUUCUGAACAGACAUGUCAAUUCUAUGUCACUGAUAUCCACUGAUAGUAUUCAACAGUUAUUAAGCACAAAAUACAUGUUCCAAUAAAAAAACAAUUAAUAACAGAUCCACGAGUAGCUUCAGGAAUAUUGCCUGAUCGAUGGCUAUACUACCCUCUAUCAACAAAGUACAUCUACUAGAAUCAAUAUGUCAUAGAUAAUAUUGCUGAAACUGAAAAAAUACAGUAAAAAACCUUAAAGAUUAUUGAACUAUUGGAUUGAACUAGUUUAAUUAAUAUUUUGUUAGAUUAGAUGCAUGUAAUUUAAUGUUAUAGUAACAAUUAUUUUGCAUAUCUAAUACAUAAAAAUCAUGAUUAUGUUUUCUCUCAGUUAUGUUGUUAGAACUUUCCUAAAGCAAGUCGCUUGCUUUGUUCAAACAAGUGCCUCACGCAAUAAAAACUUCUAACAAACAAAAGGCUUACUCGGUGGGCAUCGGAGAUAAUGUAAGCAUCACCAUCAACAUCAGCUCAAUAAUAGCUGUGAUCUUCUAGUCGCCGCCAUCGAACGAAUUCUUCCGCAUCUCGGAGGAGGGCAACAAUGUGAUCGCCGGGCCUCCAGGCGAACAUGGAGAGCCGGCGAACAUGGAGAGCCGGCGAUGCCGAAACCCUAUAGGCGGAGGAGGGGGAGUUCUGUGGAGCUGGAGGGAGGAGGAUCAUGGAUUGACUGCGCGAAUCAAGGCAUUGGGUUCGGCGGAUUUCCACGACGACAUGUGGAAGGAGUGACUGGCGUUCCUUCCACGCGCGGCGACUCCUCCCCUGCGCCGCUGGCGGCUUAUGCUGAUUCCGCCCUUGCCGUGUCGAAUUGGCUCCGACGCAGUCUUCAUGUUGACUGAGGCUUGGAAAAGAUUCAUGUGCUUAUUCCUCUUAAUAUUAAAAUUUCCCAUAUAUAAACAUGAUUAAUAUUGAUUAAUUGAAUAUAAAUAUAUAAUAUUAAUGUAUCUGAAAUAUCCUAACCUUUAAAAGUUGUAAUUAAUUUUUGAAGGAUAUAUAUAUAUAUAUAAGUAUUUAAUAUUGGAGGAAACAAAGGACAAUAUCACAACAAUAGUCGGAGGUGCGGUGUGGGCAAGGAGGCCUAUCAAAAUCAUGCUCUCCCAUUGGUCCAACUCAUCCCACCCUAUCCAAGUCCAAUCCUUCACCUCCUUCCCAUGGACCUUUUCUCUCCCACACACUCCUCCAUCUGCCAUCUCCAUUAC